rnacentral:RNase_P_RNA from 1 species
AUACGCCGGUGGACGGUUUGCGGGAGAAAUCCUGUGGAAACUCCUUCCUCUACGUAAAGCGCGGCGCUGAGAAGCGCAAUGGGAGACCAUUGGCUACGGAACAGAAACGACACCAAGCUAGACGUAUGUCGAUGAUCUAUAAUGAGUAUGUCUAGUGAUUGGGUGAAACGACCGACCCGCGCGGAGCAAGGCCAAACAGGGUGAUGUGAAUUUACUCGAAGCCCAGGUAGGCCGCAUAGUCAAAUACCGUCGAAACAGAAGAAGGGUUACACCCGGCCUAU